rnacentral:rRNA from 1 species
UUCGCAAUGCCCGAAAGGGUGACGAAGCGACGCCGCGUGGGUGAGGAAGGCCUUCGGGUUGUAAAGCCCUGUCAGGAGUUAAGAAAUGUAGGUACGCUAAUAUCGUAUCUAUUUGACAAAGGCUCCAAAGGAAGCCACGGCUAACUCUGUGCCAGCAGCCGCGGUAAUACAGAGGUGGCAAGCGUUGUUCGGAAUUAUUGGGCGUAAAGAGCACGUAGGUGGAUUUGUAAGUCAGAUGUGAAAGCCUUCUGUUCAACGGGAGAAUUGCAUCUGAAACUACAAACCUUGAGUAUAGGAGGGGAGAAUGGAACUUCUGGUGGAGCGGUGAAAUGCGUAGAUAUCAGAAGGAACGCCGGCGGCGAAAGCGAUUCUCUGGCCUAUUACUGACACUCAGUGUGCGAAAGCUAGGGGAGCAAACGGGAUUAGAUACCCCGGUAGUCCUAGCCGUAAACGAUGGGCACUAAGUAGAGGGGUUUU